rnacentral:rRNA from 1 species
AACGAACGCUGGCGGCAGGCCUAACACAUGCAAGUCGAACGGACCCUUCGGGGUUAGUGGCGCACGGGUGAGUAACACGUGGGAAUAUGCCCUUAGGUACGGGACAACAGCUGGAAACGGCUGCUAAUACCGUAUGAUAUCGAGAGAUCAAAGAUUUAUCGCCUAAGGAUUAGCCCGCGUUAGAUUAGGUAGUUGGUGGGGUAAGAGCCUACCAAGCCUACGAUCUAUAGCUGGUCUCAGAGGAUGAUCAGCCACACUGGAACUGAGACACGGUCCAGACUCCUACGGGAGGCAGCAGUGAGGAAUAUUGGACAAUGGGCGAAAGCCUGAUCCAGCCAUGCCGCGUGAAUGAUGAAGGCCUUAGGGUUGUAAAGUUCUUUUAGUAGUGAAGAUGAUGACGGUAACUACAGAAAAAGCCCCGGCUAACUCCGUGCCAGCCCCCGCCGUAACAC